UAACUGCGAGUGAAGCGGGAAAAGCUCAAAUUUAAAAUCUGGCGGUCCUUGGCUGUCCGAGUUGUAAUUUAGAGAAGCGUCUUCCGCGCCGGACCGUGCACAAGUCUCCUGGAAUGGAGCGUCGUAGAGGGUGAGAAUCCCGUCUUUGGCACGGAUACCCGGUGCUUCUGUGAUGCGCUCUCGAAGAGUCGAGUUGUUUGGGAAUGCAGCUCAAAAUGGGUGGUGAACUCCAUCUAAAGCUAAAUAUUGGCGAGAGACCGAUAGCGAACAAGUACCGUGAGGGAAAGAUGAAAAGCACUUUGGAAAGAGAGUGAAACAGUACGUGAAAUUGUUGAAAGGGAAACGCUUGAAGUCAGUCGCGUCGACCGAGACUCAGCCUUGCCUUGGCUUGGUGUACUUCUCGGACUGACGGGUCAGCGUCGAUUUUGCUGCUCGGAUAAUGGCAAGGGAAAGGUGGCACCUUUGCGGGUGUGUUAUAGUCUCCUGUCGCAUGCGAGGGGCGAGAUCGAGGAACUCAGCGCGCGCCUCUGGCGUCGGGGCUUUGGCCCACGUAACGCGCUUAGGACGCUGGCGUAAUGGCUUUAAACGACCCGUCUUGAAACACGGACCAAGGAGUCCAACGUGCCCGCGAGUGUUCGGGUGGAAAACCCGUGCGCGUAAUGAAAGUGAAAGUUGGGACCUCUGUCGUGGAGGGCACCGACGCCCGGACCAGACCUUCUGUGACGGAUCUGCGGUAGAGCGUGCAUGUUGGGACCCGAAAGAUGGUGAACUAUGCCUGAAUAGGGUGAAGCCAGAGGAAACUCUGGUGGAGGCUCGUAGCGAUUCUGACGUGCAAAUCGAUCGUCAAAUUUGGGUAUA
rnacentral:rRNA from 1 species